CGCAGGUGUCGUGCUCGCCACCUCUCCGGUCUUGAAACCCCCGGAGAUGCGCCUCGGGUUCACCGGUCAGGUUCCUUCGUUUUGUCCGGAAUUGCAAAAUGAGUCCUGGUGAUCAGAGCGAACCCAUAGAAAGGGCCAGAGUGGAGCAUUUAGAUGCGGCCCUUUGGCUAGGGAGAUGAGGAUAAGGGGAUAAGAACGCUUGUUGUGCAACCACGAGGACCUGAGUUCGAAUCCCCAGCACCCACGUAGAAACAAAACAGUAACGUCAAAAAAUACCUGGGCGUGGACACACCCACCCGCUACGCCAGCGCUGUGGGAUCCGAGGCCCGAGGAUCGCUGGGGCUUGCGGGCUGCCAGCCUAGCUAGCUUAGGGAAUACGACUGUGAGUGUGCAGGUGCACACGAGCUUGCACACCGACGUGAGCAUAUACCACACACACAAUAAAUAACGAUGGGUGCUGCCCGAGCCACAGUCGUCCUCUGUUACAGAAGAGAGAGCUGGGGUCAGAGUCAAUAAUGUACCCCAAGUCGGCAGUCCAGCUGGGGGCUGACGGACCACACAUCUGCAGUGCUUCGAGAGCUGUUUCCUUCUAAAAGCAAACAACGGCAACACUCCGAUAAAGGACGAGGUUUUUAGUGUGGGUGAAUCCAGGGACUUCCACACACUAAGCAAGUGUUCUAGUGAAGGUACAGGAGCCCUGUCUUGGACAUUUUAUAAGGCUAGUUCCCGAUGUUCUAUCAUUCUUGAUGGUUCAGGAAGCUUCUGGAACACAGGACAGACACCUCUACAAUGGAAACAAGAUCUGCAUCAUCAGCUUCAGAUGUGUUCUUGGAGCCAUGACCCAAGAGUUCACCUUGAAUUGGGGACAUUCUGGAAGUUAACCCGCGAGGGACCUCCAGCAGAACCUCUGGGGAAGCCUUGAAGCACCUAUGCCGAACAUCAAGGCAAGUCCAGGCACCCUCUGCUGGCUUCAAGAUCUCCUGGAGGGAAAACUGAGCCAUCCGUUCCUGGGAGAGGAGAGCCAAGCAGGCCGGAAGAGGGAAGAGUGAUCCAGAUCUAACACUUGAAGGUGAGCCACAUCUUGUCCUUUGCAUUCUCCAUGGAGCCUUCAAGUGCCAAAACACCGAGGAAGGGUGCUGUGGCUUGGUGACUGUGUCACUGUGGACACUGUGGCAUAAGGAGAUGGCCUGGCCAUUUGCCUUUGAAGAUGAAGCUCGCCUUCUCCAGAUGAUUUUCUAUCUUUCCUUCAAGGUCGCACAGGGAGGAAGGGAUUUCUUAUUGCUUCUUCUUCCUCCCUGCUCUGCCCACCAGGCAGCCCAGCCACGUUAGCUCUGAAGACCCAUCAAGUGACCGGAGCCCCCGCUGCCUCCCCUCUGCCAAGGAGAUGGUACUAGUUAGUUGGGUGUUGUGCUAGGACAUAGGAAUGACCUUGGGAAAGGUCACUUGGUGACUAAGCAGGAAUGGGCACUGGUGUGUCUGUCUACCCCAUCCAGGGUGUGGGGGAGGCUGGCUCAGCGACCACCCCCAGUGUGAAUUUGGAACUCUGCUAGGUUCGCUUCCGUGGCACUUAGGUCUGUACCUGUUGAGGACUUAGCGGACGGACAGUUGAUGGAAGUAACACAUAGAAGUGAAGGAAUACACCGAGCUGCCCUGCCACCCCCUCCCGAGCCCCAUGGGAAGGUCACAUCCCUUCUUUCAGAAUAUGGCUGAGUUCUGGGUCCCACCAAGGAUAGACGCCCCCUUCCCUGUUGGUUAUGAAAGUCUCUUAUCUCAUGUAUAAAAAGGGGGUGGCAAAUGUC